GACGAACGCUGGCGGCGUGCCUAAUACAUGCAAGUCGAGCGCAGGAAAUCGACGGAACCCUUCGGGGGAAGUCGAUGGAAUGAGCGGCGGACGGGUGAGUAACACGUAAAGAACCUGCCCUCAGGUCUGGGAUAACCACGAGAAAUCGGGGCUAAUACCGGAUGGGUCAUCGGACCGCAUGGUCCGAGGAUGAAAGGCGCUCCGGCGUCGCCGGGGGAUGGCUUUGCGGUGCAUUAGCUAGUUGGUGGGGUAAUGGCCCACCAAGGCGACGAUGCAUAGCCAACCUGAGAGGGUGAUCGGCCACACUGGGACUGAGACACGGCCCAGACUCCUACGGGAGGCAGCAGUAGGGAAUCUUCCACAAUGGACGAAAGUCUGAUGGAGCAACGCCGCGUGAACGAUGAAGGCCUUCAGGUCGUAAAGUUCUGUUGUAAGGGAAGAACAAGUGCCGCAGGCAAUGGCGGCACCUUGACGGUACCUUGCGAGAAAGCCACGGCUAACUACGUGCCAGCCGCCGCCGUAAUAC
rnacentral:rRNA from 1 species